rnacentral:lncRNA from 1 species
UUUAAUAGAUAUAGGAAGAUGUGGUGUGAGUGCCAAUGAGACAACUCUCCAUCCAAAUAACAAUUUAAAAAGUAAACCAUUAUAGGUUAAAGUACGGCCUUCAACACGGAGCCAUGGCUCACAUCGAACAACAAGCUAUAAAGGGCCCCAAAAUUACUAGUGUAAAACCAUUCAAACGGGAAAACCAACGGUCUAAAUCUAUAUAAACAAAACGAGAAACGAGAAACACGUAUAUAUUACAUAAACAAAC